rnacentral:misc_RNA from 1 species
UGAGACACCUGUAAUCCUCCAAGAUCAAUGAAUCCACUUGCAAAGCAUCCACCUGAAGGCCAAGUGGGCAAUGGAGAAGGAAAACGAAAGGCAUUAUCGAUGAUGUUCUGUGUUGAAGCAUUAUCAACCAAAAAUGUUGCGUUUAAGUUGUCUACUCCCAUGGUUGAAUUUGAACAACUGAUUCUUAAAGCAAGUGCUAACACUAAAAUAGUACAAGACAUAACCAUAUCCUUGAAAAAAAAAAGG